rnacentral:lncRNA from 10 species
AGAGUCUAUCAUGGAAGAGCUCGAUAUAUCCAAACUGGGAAACUAUGAAUCAAAAUUUCAUUAGAGAAAUAUUAGUGACUAUUCUGACUUUUUUUUGUUUUUCCCUUUUUGAUAUUAGCCAGCUCUUCCUAAAAGUCUCUAGGCUGUUUCAUCUGGAGUUCCCAAGCCCUCUUUCUCAUUCAUGAUAUCUACUUGGAAAUUAGGUGUCUCAGUACAGCUGCUUGCUAAUUGUAAUUUAAUUUGAAUCUCACUUAAGAAAGCAUUUUCUUUGGAGGGGGAGAAAUCUUCAAGGAAAAAAAUACUUUCAGGUCUUGAUUUGUAUAACUAACCCUUGCACUUGGUAGGUCAUUAGAUCUCACUAGUUUGUAAUGCAAUCAGAGUCAGCAUUCUGCUCUUAAGGGCUACUCGGUAAUUUGCUUGUUAAUAUAUUAGCACACAGCAUUGAUCAAAUGGCUAAUCCAAUCACACGCUUGUAAUCGAUCUCUUAUUGAUUACCUAGUCUGGUGAUCACUUUUGUUGGGUUCAGUCAAUAGUAAAUGCCAAGUAGCCUUUCACACACCUAAUUAGCUUAUGAAAUAAACCAAACAUUUUGCUUGGCCCUGAAGGCAAAGAUCAAUGGAAAGCUUUGGGGCUGAAUUCAGAUGAUUUUUUCAUCAACUUUUCUUCCUCUCUUCUGCAGCCACUCAAGUUCACAUUAACACUCUCCCUCUGGUUUGAAGACAUCUGAAAAGCAGCUGCCAUGGUGGAGACGCUGAAGCAGCUGUAAGCCAUAAAUCACAAGGGAAUUUCCAGUUUGUAAAUUGGAAAGCGCUGGAAAGCUGAGCCCCACUCAGUAACAAGACAACUCCAAUCAAAGCAAGUGUUUGCAGGCAUCAAAGUCAAGCUUGGCUGGGACAGCCAAGGGCAGCCCAGAGGUCCUUCUCAUAGUACUACCUUCUCAUAGUACUACCCUGUCUUGAGCAAAGCCCCUUCUGGGACCAUCAGCAGGAUUUGGCUGACUAACAGAGGGCAAAUUUCAUGCUGGUUUGAGCCUAAUGCCUCUUUGUUUUUACUGCAUUUUUACUUACAAAGGGACUUGUGCAAAACAAAACAUAGAAUAAGAUUUCAAAGUUUUAGGGGGCAAUGUGGGUUUGGCUACAAAUUUUCAGAGGAACAUAAAACCAAAAACACAAGCUGUGGCCUUAUUCUGAGUAAUUUCAGAAGAAAAUAAGCCCUUUUGGAAAUGUAUGCACAUACAUUUCUGAUGUAGGUUGGAAUGUGCUGGUUGCAAUGCUGGAGAUGUGGAUUUACAAUAUGCAUUGGAAUUAGGCAAACCUGAGUUCAUGUCACACUUCUGCUAUUUAUUAUUUAUGUAGCCUGAGAGAAGUCCCUUAAUUUCUUGAUUCUUUAAUUUCCCGCACCUUACAAUGAGCAUAAUGAGAGUGCUUACCCCAUAGAAGAGGGAUUAUUAAAUGAGACAAAUUACAGAAGGCACUUUCAGCAAUGCCUACCAUGUAUUAAGUGUUCAGUAAAUGCCAAGUUGUUGUUGUAAGUCUUAUAAGAUCUACCACUUGGUUGAACUUCACUAAGAUUCCGAAGAGUUCUCUCUCUCUUUCUUUCCUGCCUCCCACCGCCUGCAUUGGAGCUGCCUUCUUUGCCACCAUGUUUGGAAUUUGGUAACACCAAUUCCAAAAUGUUUUACAAAAGGAUGCACAAGUGAUUCUGGGAAGCUAAAAUGACAAUCCCAUCAGAAUUGGCAUGUUCCCUGAGAAAAUGCAAACACUAAAAGAUAAGAGAUUUGAGGAAAUCAUACAAUGGAAUUUGAAUUCUUAGUGGAUCUAGCCAUUCCAAAUAUUUUCAUAGGAUAUGUUCAAAGUGACUUGGAAAAAGAGUAAAAACAAAGUUAAGAAAGCUAAAGGAAUUGAUAAUAUGUGCCAUUCAGAGAAAAUCUUUUUUGCUUUGGAACAUUUUAAAUGAUCACAUGAAAAGAUUUUUGGAUCUUACAUUAAAUUAUUGCUUACUAAUUUGCAAGAUAAAAGAGAAUUGGGAUGGAAAUAUAAUUUUCUAUUGAGUGAAAAUGAAUACAAAUUAAAGUGUUACAUUCUUAGGUUAGAAAAUGUGCUUGACUUCAAAAAGAGUUUUGGGAUUCACUCAUAUUCCCAUAUAUAUUUAAUGAAAUGUAACAUGCUACUGAAACAUUGCUUUCUGCCAAUACUUUAUGCCAGAGUCUAAGAAACGCUGAGGAUUAAUAGCAGAGAAAAAUGCUCCUCUGUUUGGCUGAAUAAACAUUACACAAACACUAAACUCUGUGUGGGAUCAUUAGUUUUUUCAUCACACUAUUUCUAGAAUUGAAAAAUCACAAAUCCUUCUCCAGCUUAGUUCUUUUUUGCAACAAAAGCAUUACUCAGACCAGCUAAAAUGUAUUCUUUAGGAUUCUGACAUCUCCGGAAUGUCAAACAGGUUCAGUGGACACCAAGUACAGAUUCUCUCUUUCAUGUGGAAAGGUUAAGUAAGAAAAGACUUCAUGUGAGGAAACUGCCCCAUCAUUCACAGUUAUUUUAAUUUAAUCUGAGUGUGCUUCAAUUUACAUAUAAACUGGAAUGUUGUCUCAGAAAAAAAAAUCUAUUUCAAGGAAAUCAACCUUUGGAGUAAAUAAAACUGACAAUUUAAAAAAGUGAUGAACAUUUUAAGACUAUAUAUGCAUUUGAGAGAAGCCAGCAUAACCAUAAUGUAAGAUUAGCCUUAUUUUAAUAUGAACUAUCCAUAAAAACAUUAUGCAUAUAUUCUUUGACUCAAACAAUUGGUUUUAUAGCCUUCUGAAAUUUUGAAAGACUUAUGGUCUUUAAUAUGCUAUAGCUGUUAACCAGAUAAGCAUAUUUUUCUGGAAGAUAUUCCUUUCAUAGAAUAUAAAUUAACCACAGACAUGACAAAAUGGCCAAAGCUGGCAGGAAGAGGAGAGAGCUGGAUGAUAUUAAGAAAUUAAAUGAAUAAAAUAUGGUAAACUUUUGUCAACAAAUAUUUAACCAUGGAAUUGUUUUUAUUGUAACCUUAAAAGAAGAGAA